AGAGGAACAAGCUUACUCUCUUCCUCAUUCUGAGAGUUGGAAGCAGCUGAUGUGAUUAGUAGCUGAGUGAUAAAGUCACUCUUAACUGGCCCUAGAACCAGGCCUGCAUGAACUAUGCUGGGAACUAGUAGAAAUAGAACAGCUUCAUCCCUUCCUUAUCUUUCUGCUGCCCUGCAAGAGAAAACCUGCUCCUCUGCAAGUGAUCCAUGUGUUGCAGAUACACAGACUUCAUGGUCCUCAGCAGGGGAAGAAGAAUUUUUGGCUUGAAAAACAUAGAACUCAUUAUCUGAGCACGUGGUGUAUCCAUAAAGUCUAGCUGCAGUGAGGGGACUUGUGUUCCGUGGGGCAGCCACUAGACAGUGAUAUAGCCACAUCUACACAACCAAAGCAUGUCAGCUUCACACCCUUGUAAUAGCCCCAGCCUUUCUCUAGCAUUUCCUUCACAGCCUAGCAGCUCAAAUUUUCUCUGAAUCCCAGUUGAAACUCAGCUUGCAUACAUCCCUUCUGAGCAAUCAUCAUUCAUUCUCAGCAGAGAGGAAGGCUUGAAUAAAAUCUUUUCUCUUAUACAAGCCAAAGAUAAGGAACCUUCUGGGGUAAAGGGAGCCAGGGAUAUGCCCUGCCUGUGAUUCUCAGCUUGUCCAAUGGAAAGAAAACCUCGCCUUCUGGGCUACCAAUCUUCAAACCACCAGUCUAGCAAUAAAAGUAGCUGAGGCAAAUAUAGCCAUUCUCCCUCUCGCAUACUUCCCUAAACUUCUGUAAUAGAACAAAACAAUAAAGCCUGCUUUAGGCUUUAUCAGUAUAAUUCUAUUCAGCACAUUCAGCCAUCAGUAACCUACCUCAAAUUUGGGCUUCAGCUUCCCAGGCAACUGGUUCAAGCCACUUCCAUGCACACCCGUUGCAUUAAGCAUACCUCUGGCAAGCACCAGCUCCAUCCUCUGAAAGCUUUGUCAGAACAAACAUCAGACUUUCCAGUUAUCCCAUCUGACUUUGCACCUUGUCAUCCAGCCUUUACACCUUCUUCCUCACCCUUUCUUCUUCUCCUGCCGCAUGCAUACCCUGGAUGAAAGACUCAGAUAAGCUGGAAGAGGCCAACUUACGGGAGCAGCAAGUCUGUCCUAGCACCAAUCCACCCUCCUACUCAGGGCCAGGUGAAUCAUGUGGCUGUCCAAGACCUUUUAGAGAGCUGCCUGACUGCUGCACUUGAGAGCUACGCGAGUUCGGUUUGGGACGUCACUUACAUCUUUGCCCAGAUUGUGGACAGAGUUGUCCCUCUGCAGAGUUACUGCAGGAAAAUGCUUUUGUGAAGAACACCCAGAGGAGACCAGCUUGUAUGCAAAGAGCAACCUUCAAUACUCUGCUUUAUAAGCUGACAGCUGCCCUGUUCACACCAACGCAUUACCUCGCCACUCCCCAUGCCUUUGUGAGACUCCAUGGCAUCUGCACAUUCCCUACUCUGGCUGCUCAAUAGGAAAGCAACUUGGUGCAGAGAAAGUCAUCCUCAUAGACAGUGUAAGAUGGGAGUGCAGUGCCAUCCGACAGAGCAGUUAUUCCUGACCAAGGAUCAUCAGAGGCAUCAUCAAAAGUAUCAGCAGCCUAACAUAACUUGUCCAACUGUACCCUAUAGGACAGUCCAUGAUAUCCUAUUUGCCUUAAUUCUGCACAGUAAGAUGUGUAAUAUACAUAAAAUCUCAGCAGGUCCAAGUGACUACAGAUGCCACUCCAAUCCAUGGUCUCCCCCAGGACUCCUUCCAAGGAUCUGCCCACCUCUCUUCCAGCCUGCUUUUGCCUCUGAGUUGCUAAUAUGCUGGGCAUCUGACAAUAUACAGUAGAAACCAUACCAGCCCUGCAAUCAAAGAAAACCCUUGCAAGAGGAAAGUAGCUGGUUUUGAGGGUCCUUCUGAAUUCUCUCCUUAUUCUGCGAGGCACCCCUUGCUCCUCCCUGAAGAAUCUCCCUACUGUUACCAAAGGCGUCUUUCCAUCACAGGGCACCUGCUGCAGCUUGACAGACUGGCUUGACAAUACAGCCUUUGAUCCCCUGCAAUCAACCCCUGAAGGAGAGACACAGUGUAGUAGAGGUGACCACACUAUGCUGGAAACCAGAGAAGUCUCUUGUCACCUCAGCUUCUCUCUCCUUUACCCUUAGGUCUGGUGUUCCAGCUUAGCACUUCCUGGCUUUUCUUUCUUUAACUGCUUGUGGUGUUUCCAGGAAAUAGUCAAAGGUGGUUUUGAUUUGUCAUUUAAAGGUAACAAACAGCUGCAUGUUCUCAGUAGUUCUGUGUAUUCCUUUUCUCACGUGUGGAUCUGAAGUAGUAGUGAUCCUCAGUAUUUGUUGGUUUCAUUCUUUCACAGGCAGUGUACCAGUGAGCUACUAAUGCUGUUUAGUAUUACAAUAAAUAGGGAAAGAAAUAAUAAAAAUAAUAUAUUUGGCUUUUACUUGUUAUUUUUAAUGCUGUACUUUAAGCAUAUGUUGCACAUGGCAAAGGCAGAAAGAAGCUGGGACAUAAGGACGAGCUCCCAAAUCAAGCUGCUACUGAAGCUGGCUUGGAUCCAGUCUCUACUAAAAACGGCCCUUAAUCUGCAACGAGAGUGAUAAAGUCAAAGCUGCAAUCAACUGUCAUUAGCAGAGGAUUCAAAAUAUUAGCAUUUCCCCAGUGCAAGGAAUUUAGUCUUUCUUUUCCCUCCCACCUAUUUCAAAAUAAAAUGAGGCCAUGUGCAACAAAAGGAAGGAUAGCAUAGGUUUAAAGUAAUUCUUCCUCUGGGAUGCUCUGUGGCCAACUGUUUACUCUGUUUCCAUGCCAAGUGAGAGAUGUGGGUUCAAAUCUGCUUAGAUACAGGAAGAGGUGAACUUUCUACAUCCUGGCUGAGCUCUCCAAACAUCAGCAUUUGAGGUUGCCCUGGCAAAGUGCAUUCUGGCAUGGUCUGAACGCCAUAGGUGAGACAGAGGAAGAAUGCCUAUUGUGUUGCCCAGGCUUAGAUGCAGGGAUGUAACUUUACUACCUCGACUUGUCUAGCUGCAGGGAGCAAUGAGUUGCCCAGCACGAGUACAGAAGGUCCACAUGGGCUUGAUAAUCCUGCCUCUCCACUGUCCCAUUUUUUAUCAGUGGAAACAGUUUUUGCUCUGUUGCUACUUACCAUGGUGAAAGAAGCAAUCACAAAGCGACAACAAUGAAGCGGUAACAAUGAAGCUACAAUUAAUAUCAAGAGAAAUAAAAAAUUAAAACCUUCUAUUACAUUGUUUCCUGUUUGAUACAGCCACCGAGCCACACAAAACCUAUGGUAUAAAUUGCAUGGUUGGCUAAGUGGGGAUAGCACAGCAAUAGCUGAUUUACAGACUUUGUGGAAGAAGUUUGGGAAGGUACCACAAUCUGACAUCCGACCUGGAUCAUUUCCCAUUUUAAAGUUUCUGCACAACCAGAGAGCAACCUUGAAAAAGUUUAUUUUUGCUGUCAUGCCACGUUGUUGUCCUAAAAACCCUGGCUCCAUAUAUUUGGUGUACCAAGAAAUAUCUACUCUUUCUCCAAACAAGAGUUUAUUUUGACUUCGGAUUCGAAACAUUAACACUUCUGACAGCUGCAGGAAAGUGUUUGGUUUGCUUGGGUCCCUAAAUGAAUGUUUAGUUUAACCUUAAUAGGGAAUUCUCUGAAUUUGUAGACCUUUUAUCUGGAACCAUCUCCAAUUAAGCAUGAUGAAGAAUUAACGAAGCUAUUCACUCAC